CACCUGGCAGCCUCAGUUCCUGGUUCUGCUCUAGAGGGGCGUUUGUACCUGGAAAAUGCCUGAGGCCAGGGGACAGCAGCAGCACACACAAACACCUCAGGGCAAAGAUUGCUAUCCUGAAAUGUGGUCAUGACACAAAGCAGCGCUGCUGUGACUACAGAUGUAGAGAUGUACCCACCCUGAGCGGUGCAGUCAGACACAGACAUCCAGGCAGUUUGACUGCAGCAGUCGCAGCAGGGAGCGUCCCCCCUGCAGCAGCUGCUGUCUCCAGCUCUGUGACGGAAUCUGCAGGACACGUGGACAAGCACACACCUCUACUGCUUUCAGCUGCUACAGCUAACAAAACCCAAAUAUAGAUGGAGUUGCUCAAGUAAAACAUGUCUUUCAUCAACAUGUCUUGGUAUGGGGAGAUUAAGUCCACUGGAAAGAGAACCCUUGCUGUGGCACAAGGAAAAAACUCCAGCAGCAAGGCAUUGCAGGGAGCCAGCUGGACCAAUACUGUGCCCCCAUCCUCUCCUCCAACAGGAUGGGCUCCUGGGAUGUGCCUGUAGACCUGCUCCAUCCCAUCCAACUCUCUCCUGUCCAUCUGGCUUCUGCUGCAAGGGCUUCCUCCAGCCCUGGGAUGACAGCUGCCUACUGGCACAUGGGCCAUCACUCUGUUCCUAUCCACUAUCCCAUAGCAACUCAAUGUUCCUUAUGCAAGGAGAUCAUAAGUGCCACUAAAAUCCAAAUCAUCUUUGCUGAGGACUAAAAGAUCCCAUCCACAUGAGUGAGCUGAGUCUGUGCUUCUAUAAAUUGUUCCCAAAUGUUUGCUCAUGCCAUCCACUUCCACAGUGACUGCCUAGGGACUCACACCCUGCUUUCAUCUGAGUGAUUCACCAUCAGAAUGUCCUGACCAAGACCAUGUUCUAACCACGGUCAGAAAAACAUUGUUUUAUGCAUUUGUCACUUUCUCUGUAAGAUAAUACCCUCACCUUAGUUCAGCUGGAUCAGAAGGAUGAAUGAAUUAUUAAUCAGAUAUAAUAAUUCAGAUCUGGGGGAGGGGAGAAGCACCAACAUUUAUGAAUUAUCUUAUGAAUACAAUAUAAAUUAUUCAGCAGCUAUACAUCCUUCUCACAAAGGAAAUCAAAUAUUUUUUGGCUGUAGUAGGCUUGCAGACUCCUAAACAGAGAAAGAAAGAAAGAAAGAUAAAUCCUAAAACAUAAAUGCAAACAAAAAAUGUAAGUAACCGUGGUUUUGAAAGACCUCAGUGGGGAAGUUUUCCCAUGUCACAUUCACCUGUGACUUUGCCCAGCAUUUUAGGGGAAAAAAACCUGGUUUUUUUCUUAAGACAAACAUUUGUGAAGCUCUUGUUUUACUUGGGUAAGUUCAUUUCAUUGUAUUUGUUUAUUGCCUAUUUGUGUGCGUGUGUAAUGAAAUCUCAUCCAUUCUGUAAUAUGCUAACUUUCAUAAAUUAGAACAAAACACCUUUAAGAUUAAAAUUGUAUUCCUGCCUGUAGUGAUUUUACCAUUAAUUUAACAAAGCCAGAACUCAAUCCUAAAAUUUCAGAAAUUGGGGGAAUGACUAUACGCAGAAUUUUGAACCCAAUGGACUUAUUAUUUUCCUUUUUAAGCUCACACUCUUUCACAGCUGUAAAGGCUUGUGGUUUAAAACAGAAUGGCAGCUUGUGUGAGUUAGGCAAGUGAGGUCUUUCUGACCAAAUUGAAGAUUUUUUUUUCUUUCUUUACAAACCCUAGGGGAAAACAAACAUUCCUUUCUACUUUACUUUGUUAGCUGCAGUAUCUCCCACUCAUUGGUGUACUUCAGCAAAGAAAUCGUUCUGCCAAAUGCAAGUAAAGUGUACUGAAAGAACUUAACUGAUCUGUUGAUGGAUCAUGUAAAUACUCUGUUUAAAGGGGUACUGAUUGUAGAGAAAAUUAUAAGCAUUUUAAGAGACUCUUUUUUCAUUGACAGCAAUAUUCAAUAUUAGCAACCCAUUUUAUGAGCAAUACAAUCAUGCAAAAGAAAUGCUUACAUUCACUGCAAAAUAAAAAAGUGCAAAAUUUAGUUUAGAGGGCGGAA
rnacentral:lncRNA from 1 species